UGACUAUUAGUGGAAUGGAAAGAGUGUUAUCCUCAAAACAUGAGAUAACUACAUCAUUUGUUUUUUCCCAAAUACAGAACAAAAAUACGUAUUGAACACUUCUGCCAUUUCUGAAUUAUUACUGGACAUUGAUCUGUAAGCAUCAAGAUCAUUUUCUUCCAAGUUACCAGUGACUCGGAAACAGGUUAUGCAGACAUCACUAAGAGAGCAACACAGAGUCAGUCCAUGUGGAGAAAAGCAGGGUAGCUCAUUAUUGUGCAUGCAGCAUACCUUUUAUGAGGUAGCGGUGGCAAAAUGAUGUGGUCCUAGAUCAG